UAUAUAUUUAUACAUAUAUUUAACGGGAGUCGGGUUGACCAUUCCAAGAUGGCGGCCGUUGUGCCCGUUACGUGCUACACCUCAGUGCAUUGGAUUGCGCAGAAGUGGAGUAUCUUGCUCCGCUCUAUGAUCUUUGCUCUCGUCCACCCUUUGCCCCUCCCAUCCCUCCCGCCUCUUCCAUCCGACCUGCCUCUCCCAGGGCUCGCUUCCUCUCCGUUUCCUCGCGGACCAACCCAAAGAUCUUAGAGCAAGACCAACCCGCAGCUAACUGCACGUCAGGCGAGGGCCCGAGGCUGCUGACCGGGCCUGUGUCGGCACCAUGCGCGGCCUCGUCGCUGUCCUGCCCGCUCUCUCGCUCCUGCUGUUGGAGCCGGCGGAGGCUUUCGUAGUCUGCUCCUUGGUGGCUGCCUAUUGAAAGAGCUUUUUGGAGACAGAAAAUCCAUGUAGAGAGCAUCUACUGAAUUCGCUUAAUUAACCUUCUCUGCUUCUUCAACAAAAAUUAAGUCAGCAAUUUCCACGUGGAUAUUUAAGCAAAAUUCAAGAGCACUUAAUGCAAUAGGCGAGGUCAGAGGAUAUGUUGGUGAAUCUUGUCCUUGCUGGUAGAGUGUAUC